rnacentral:rRNA from 1 species
GAAACAACCCAGACCGCCAGCUAAGGUCCCAAAGUCAUGGUUAAGUGGGAAACGAUGUGGGAAGGCCCAGACAGCCAGGAUGUUGGCUUAGAAGCAGCCAUCAUUUAAAGAAAGCGUAAUAGCUCACUGGUCGAGUCGGCCUGCGCGGAAGAUGUAACGGGGCUAAACCAUGCACCGAAGCUGCGGCAGCGACGCUGAUGCGUUGUUGGGUAGGGGAGCGUUCUGUAAGCCUGUGAAGGUGGCCUGUGAGGGUUGCUGGAGGUAUCAGAAGUGCGAAUGCUGACAUAAGUAACGAUAAAGCGGGUGAAAAGCCCGCUCGCCGGAAGACCAAGGGUUCCUGUCCAACGUUAAUCGGGGCAGGGUGAGUCGACCCCUAAGGCGAGGCCGAAAGGCGUAGUCGAUGGGAAACGGGUUAAUAUUCCCGUACUUGGUGUUACUGCGAAGGGGGGACGGAGAAGGCUAUGUUGGCCGGGCGACGGUUGUCCCGGUUUAAGCGUGUAGGUGUGUGUUCCAGGUAAAUCCGGUUCACUUUAACACUGAGGCGUGAUGACGAGGCACUACGGUGCUGAAGCAACAAAUGCCCUGCUUCCAGGAAAAGCCUCUAAGCAUCAGGUAACAUCAAAUCGUACCCCAAACCGACACAGGUGGUCAGGUAGAGAAUACCAAGGCGCUUGAGAGAACUCGGGUGAAGGAACUAGGCAAAAUGGUGCCGUAACUUCGGGAGAAGGCACGCUGACACGUAGGUGAAGUGAUUUACUCACG